rnacentral:lncRNA from 1 species
GGAGGAGGUGGAGGAGCAGGAGAAGUGCCUAACAACUGGGCUGGCCAGGAGCGUCCUGGGGCUGAUAUCAGCAAGAGUCUGAUUAAAAAUCAGAACCAUGAGCAGGCCGUUGCACAGCCACUUGUCAAAGACAACAACCGGGGACGGAACCAUGGGGGCCACUCUGCAGAGCGAGGCACAUCUGACGGCUCUACUGGCUCCCUCCUAAGACUGCAGACGUUUGGCCAGCCUCUGCAGCGCUCGGUGAGCGGUAGCCUGGAUCAGGAUAGGGAUACUUCCCUGUCUUUCUAUGAGUUUGACCUGCGGCCGCCCUCCCCCAUCGAUCUGACCCGCAGCAUCGAUGAGGCUCUGCACAGGGAACACCUGCUUGAAGGAGGGAGCCUGUUUCAUCCUUUGAACCAAACCUUACAGUCCCCUUCCCCAGGCUCAGGGAUCAGUCAGGGGCCCUGGCUCCGCAGGAACAGUGAUCCUCAGUUGCUCUCGGAGAGUAGCGAGGCUCCAACAGAGUCUUCCAUGCCACUGGGGGGAAGCAUUCUCAGCAGUGUACCCAGUAGGCAGGUGACUGCUCCCCCAACGCCAUCCCACCAGGGUCACAGAUGGGCUGGAAAUGGGACAACAAGUGUCCCUUCAUCAGUGUCCUGUCCUGUGUCACUCCGUCCCUCCAGAACCUCAACGGGGCAUUUGGGAGACGAUGGAGUGGACGACACGCGACCGUUUAUCACCCCAGACUCUGAAAGUGUGCGAGGGAGAGCUGCGAGGCCAGUGGGGUCACGCAGUUACCUGGAAGUCAGUCGACAUGACGAUUCUGCCAGUGUCAGCAGCGAGAUUAUUGACCUAUGAGCCUAACCUUGGACAUGAGGACCAAAUGACUGCACAUCUAACGCAUUCAUUUAACAGUCACUAAUCCUAACCAGGGAUGCUGCAACUAAUGGGAUAAUAGUAUUAUUAAACUGUGUACUAAUACUUUUUGUCAGAAGAGUUAAAAUAUGAAAACAAGGAUCUGGGUGACAAACUAAAAAGGUGUCACCUAGCUGCCUUUUGUCUUUGUUGAUCAGAUUAGCUGUUGAUUAGCAUAAUUUGGGAGCAAAACGAGGAGAUGCAGCACAGAUAGACAAACAGCAUGCUCACUUUCCCAUCUGUCUGUCUUUUUCUUGUCUGUUUAACACUGGUAUGACUUCAAGUACACUGGGACCACACUUACAUACAAUUCCUGAGAAUGGCUAUUUAGC